GCUCGACUGUAAAGGAGAGGAUCAGCAAUGGAAUUGUUCAACCGAGUUUACGAGGUGAGGGGGCGAAGAGAAGCGAGACG